UAGCACAUUUGCAUAGCAGGUUCUAG
rnacentral:piRNA from 1 species